GACUACGCUUAUGGACGUU
rnacentral:siRNA from 1 species